UCCGAUCUACUUGCUUUAGCAAGUCGUUUUCCAGAAAGACAAUAAACAAAGUCAAUGUUUAACUGCCACAGAUCUCAAUUCUAAACCUAAUAUCCAUUCAAACGUUUGGUCGCUCAGUACAACCGGUACGAACUAUUAGUAUAUUCGAUCGAUUGUUAUAAUCCCACUCUUCGCAAGCCCACUAUCGAGCUAUAAAUUCAGAGCGUUAGUUAAGUACUCCAACCGACCACAUUAAAUUUACAAAAUGAGCAAUUCUGACAGCUCAACAAUUACUUUGGAAGCAUUCGUUGAGUCAGAAGCACUGUCGCAUCCUGGAGAAUCUAUAGUGGACGGCAGCAAUGGAUCUACUCUGAAUCAUCCCUCGCGGCAGCAACCCCUCCAAUUCAUCGCUAUGGACGUAACGACGCCGAAACUAACAUACGACGCAAAAACACAGACAGAAAUCUGUUCACGAAUAAGACGAAUUGAGUGCCAUGUUCGUUCAGGGUUAAUUUUGACAAUCAUUUGUCUUUUAACCAUUAUCGCAAUAGCACUUUCUCUCCUCGGGUUUCAGACGAACGCCCAGGAAAAGGAACCAUCUCAUGCUCACCAGAUAGCACAACCUGAACUAACCAGAUCUUACGCAGAUGCGGAAGCCCAAACAGAUUACAGUGUCCAGAGAAUCUGUGACUCACUGGAGUCUUCAUACUGGAGUAACAACCUUCAACGAUGCUACCUGUUCAUAGAUUUGCUGAAGACUUUUGAGGAUGCGAAACUGUACUGCACGCAAAACUAUUACCAGAUGAUAUACCCCGAAAGCUUAGAAGAACUGAACACACUUCGAGCACUUAUACAGCGUGAAAACACCAAAAAUGAUCCUAACUUCGAUGUUUUUAUUGGUUACGAACGAUUGGCUAAUUCAACUGAAUUUGUUUCCAUCGAUAAUAGCAUGCAACUGUCUAGAAUAGCUCAUAUAGGGCUUGAUACAAAAAAUAACGUUAAUGGAAAGUACUGCCAAAUUUCCGCGAAUGGAAAACUUGAAGCUGUAGCGAGUCGCAUGAACAGAUUUAUAUGUACAUUCAAUUCUGCCCGCUUUUUGUCUCGAAACUUAAUUUUAGUGUCUA